AGGCAAAGUCUAUCCGGCAUAAAGUUUCUGGCAUGUGCAUCGCUGUUGGUGGAAAUAGUCCAGUUUUGGCUAAUUGCAAUAAUGAACCUGACCAAAUUUGGGAACUCAGCCUUUCAAAGCUCAAGAGCUAAGAAAUACUCUCGGUGAUAAAGGGAGGUGUUUAUAAAUAUACGACUCGCUUUGAUAAUUAUAAAAUUACUACAUCAGCCCUUGCACGGUAUAUAUCUUCAUUGAACGAACCACCAAUAAACGCUAGAAGGGUAAAUAAAAAGAAAGGAGUAUUAAUUUUAGACAUAUGAAUUUUAAACACCAGCUUAUAGUUUGAAAAUGACUUUACAUUCAUUUCAAAACUUUUUUGCAAACGGUGCUAUAUGUGUUGGUUCAUGUAGUACAAAUAGCGAAUCUUGCCAUACAUGGGAACAAAUAUGUCAAUUUUUAUGCGGCAUGCUUCGUAGUUUUUUCAGAGACGAUCAUAAUUGCACAAAUCUGAAGGAUAAGUGCAUCCAGGUUGAAAAGUCGCGCGAUUGCAUGUUCUUCGCAUGAAAAAAUUAUGCAGUCACUUGCAUGCAUGAAACACAUGCGAAAUAAAUAGUUUACUCAUCCAUUUGAAUGGUACAACAAGUAUCAAAACUCAGAACUUUAUUCAAAAUAUUUUGUUUAUUAGGUGCCUACCGCAAUAAAAUUUUGCCAUCCACUUGUUCACAUUUGAAAAACAACACCGAUCGUUAACAAGACAAACGGAAGCUCAUGCAUAAAUCAAUACAAUAUAUAGACGUACAAUUUACUGUUUUAGUAAAAUUACAGUUCAUACUGGAAACCAUUAAUCAUUUGUUUCGAUAGGUUUUGGAGUGUCCUUGUAGUAUCAUGUGAUCAUGUAAGUCACGUGAUAUAACCUCAUGGGGGCAGAAUGUAAGUUGCAUGGCGGUUUACAAAUAAAAUGUGUUUACAACAUUGCAUCUCUCCGAUCAGGUAGUGUGUCAAAAAUAUCAUUAACAUGUUCACCAUUCACCAACAUACACACUCGAGUACAUACACACACUCCUAUAAACAUCUGGUUGAU
rnacentral:lncRNA from 1 species